rnacentral:rRNA from 1 species
UGCCAUUUCCAAUAGCGGAGGAAAAGAAACCAACAGGGAUUGCCUCAGUAACGGCGAGUGAAGCGGCAACAGCUCAAAUUUGAAAUCUGGCUCUUUUAGGGUCCGAGUUGUAAUUUGUAGAAGAUGCUUCGGGUGUGGCUCCGGUCUAAGUUCCUUGGAACAGGACGUCAUAGAGGGUGAGAAUCCCGUACGUGACCGGUGGCCUUCGCCCAUGUGAAGCUCUUUCGACGAGUCGAGUUGUUUGGGAAUGCAGCUCAAAAUGGGUGGUAUAUUUCAUCUAAAGCUAAAUAUUGGCCAGAGACCGAUAGCGCACAAGUAGAGUGAUCGAAAGAUGAAAAGCACUUUGGAAAGAGAGUUAAACAGUACGUGAAAUUGUUGAAAGGGAAGCGCUUGCAAUCAGACUUGCACGCCGUCGAUCAUCCGAGGUUUUCCCCGGUGCACUCGGCGGUGUUCAGGCCAGCAUCGGUCUGGGUGGUUGGAUAAAGGCCCCAGGAAUGUGGCUCCCUUCGGGGAGUGUUAUAGCCUGGGGUGCAAUGCAGCCUAUCCGGACCGAGGACCGCGCUCGGCUAGGAUGCGGCGUAAAAUGC